rnacentral:rRNA from 1 species
UGCCCAGACUCCUACGGGAGGCAGCAGUGAGGAAUAUUGGUCAAUGGACGAGAGUCUGAACCAGCCAAGUAGCGUGAAGGAUGACUGCCCUAUGGGUUGUAAACUUCUUUUAUAUGGGAAUAAAAUGUUCCACGUGUGGGAUUUUGUAUGUACCAUAUGAAUAAGGAUCGGCUAACUCCGUGCCAGCAGCCGCGGUAAUACGGAGGAUGCGAGCGUUAUCCGGAUUUAUUGGGUUUAAAGGGUGCGUAGGCGGAAUAUCAAGUCAGCGGUAAAAAUUCGGGGCUCAACCCCGUCGUGCCGUUGAAACUGAUGUUCUUGAGUGGGCGAGAAGUAUGCGGAAUGCGUGGUGUAGCGGUGAAAUGCAUAGAUAUCACGCAGAACUCCGAUUGCGAAGGCGGCAUACCGGCGCCCAACUGACGCUGAAGCACGAAAGCGUGGGUAUCGAACAGGAUUAGAUACCCCAGUA